CGGGCCCAGCCCCGGGGGGCAGCAGGUGCAGCAGCUCCCCCCGGUGCAGCACGUGUUCCCCUACGUGGAGGGGGGCGACGGCUCCUUCCCGCCCCCCGGCGCCAUCCGCUCGGGCUCCUUCCCUUUCGCCGAGCCGCCGCUCUUCGGGCAGAACUCGGG